rnacentral:rRNA from 1 species
GAUGAACGCUGGCGGCGUGCCUAAUACAUGCAAGUCGAGCGAAUGGAUUAAGAGCUUGCUCUUAUGAAGUUAGCGGCGGACGGGUGAGUAACACGUGGGUAACCUGCCCAUAAGACUGGGAUAACUCCGGGAAACCGGGGCUAAUACCGGAUAACAUUUUGAACCGCAUGGUUCGAAAUUGAAAGGCGGCUUCGGCUGUCACUUAUGAAUGGACCCGCGUCGCAUUAGCUAGUUGGGGAGGUAACGGCCCACCAAGGCAACGAUGCGUAGCCGACCUGAGAGGGUGAUCGGCCACACUGGGACUGAGACACGGCCCAGACUCCUACAGGAGGCAGCAGUAGGGAAUCUUCCGCAAUGGACGAAAGUCUGACGGAGCAACGCCGCGUGAGUGAUGAAGGCUUUCGGGUCGUAAAACUCUGUUGUUAGGGAAGAACAAGUGCUAGUUGAAUAAGCUGGCACCUUGACGGUACCUAACCAGAAAGCCACGGCUAACUACGUGCCAGCAGCCGCCGUAA